GUGAACUUAAGCAUAUCAAUAAGCGGAGGAAAAGAAACCAACAGGGAUUGCCUUAGUAACGGCGAGUGAAGCGGCAACAGCUCAAAU
rnacentral:rRNA from 1 species